GACGAACGCUGGCGGCGUGCUUAACACAUGCAAGUCGAACGAAGUGGCGAACGGGUGAGUAACGCGUAAUCAACCUGCCCUUCAGAGGGGGACAACAGUUGGAAACGACUGCUAAUACCGCAUACUGAAGGAGGGGAUUGCGUCUGAUUAGCUAGUUGGAGGGGGAACGGCCCACCAAGGCGAUGAUCAGUAGCAGGUGUGAGAGGAUGAACGGCCACAUUGGGACUGAGACACGGCCCAGACUCCUACGGGAGGCAGCAGUGGGGAAUCUUCCGCAAAGGACGAAAGGCUGACGGAGCAACGGCGGGGGAGUGAUGAUGGCCUUCGGGUUGGAAAGCUCUGUUAAUCGGGACGCGGUACCGGAAUAGAAAGCCACGGCUAACUACGUGCCAGCAGCCGCGGUAAUUC
rnacentral:rRNA from 1 species